rnacentral:rRNA from 1 species
AUUGAACGCUGGCGGCAUGCUUUACACAUGCAAGUCGAGCGGUAACAGGCCUUCGGGUGCUGACGAGUGGCGAACGGGUGAGUAAUGCAUCGGAACGUACCCAGAGGUGGGGGAUAACGCAGCGAAAGCUGUGCUAAUACCGCAUGUGAUCUGAGGAUGAAAGCGGGGGACCGAGCAGCAAUGUUUGGCCUCGCGCCUUUGGAGCGGCCGAUGUCGGAUUAGCUAGUUGGUGGGGUAAGGGCCUACCAAGGCGACGAUCCGUAGCUGGUCUGAGAGGACGACCAGCCACACUGGGACUGAGACACGGCCCAGACUCCUACGGGAGGCAGCAGUGGGGAAUUUUGGACAAUGGGCGCAAGCCUGAUCCAGCAAUGCCGCGUGCGGGAAGAAGGCCUUCGGGUUGUAAACCGCUUUUGGCAGGAACGAAACGGUGUCCGCUAAUACCGGGCGCUAAUGACGGUACCUGCAGAAUAAGCACCGGCUAACUACGUG